GAGAAGAGGAACCAGAAAAAUAAAUAAAAAGGAAGGAAGGACCGUGAGAGAGAAAGGGAUGACAGAAUAAUAGAAAACAACAAAAUAAAAGGAAAGGAAAGGGCUGAGAGUGCAAGGAGGGCUCUAGGUGAAGGAAGCACAAGUAGCCGCAAAUCACUACUCUGUUGGAGGGUGGGGUAUAUAAUGAAAAAGCGGCAUAUCACCAAAUCUCUCUCUCUCUCUCUCUCUCUCUCUCGACAAUCUAUAACACAACAAGAUAUAUUUUGCUUCAGUUUGCUACUAUUACUAAUACUACUAUUACUACUACUAUUAUUAUUAUUAUUAUUAUUAUUAUCAUCAUCAUCAUCAUCAUUACUACAACAACAACAACAACAACAACAACUACUACUACUAUUACUACUAUUCUAACUAAUCUAGUACCAUUAAUCUCUAUCUCUCAUUAUUUAAGCACUAUUUCUACUAUUUCUAUGACUAUUUCCAUCUAUCAAUUUCUAUCACUCCAUGACUGUUUGGAAAUAUAAUUGUCUUUUUUGUAGCUGUGUUGCACCCAAUGUCAAGUGGUCACUAAAGGCGGAAGUCAUAGUUAGUUUAGGGCUAUUCUCCCCUCUAUGGUUUUGAAAUGAGAGCCCCGUAUGGUUUCUACUUUUUUUAUUUAUUUUUUUUUGUCUAUUUAAAAGUUGAUUGAUUUAUUGUUAAUUUAUUCUUUUAUCUAUAUUUUUUUUAUUUGAAAGUUAAUAGAGAUUAAAUUAGAGUUGUUUGUGGUAUUCUAGUCCUUAUGGUUUUGAAAUCAUAGAGCUCCUUGUGAUUUUCAAGAGUUAAUUAAUUACUUUUUUUUUAUCUAAGGUUACUAAAGGCGGAAGUUCAGGUAGUCGUAGGUAUGCCACGACUAUUGCGAGUCUUUUAAGGUCACAUCUAUGGUGGGCAGCUUAAAAAAAUGGACAUGGUAGGCAGCUUAAAAAAAUGGACAUAAUAUGGAAAAUAAGGAGCGUAAAGGCGGUGUCACACUAGCACUUUUUCCGUCGUUUUUCAGAAAAUCGACAAUAUAUUGGCUGCGGCCUGUCACACUCAAAAGGUGUAUCGUCGUCACUUCCCGCCAACACCUCAGGCUCAGGGUCUCUCACCUGGCCAACACAAUGUAAACACUAUCAUGGAGGCCACGUUGCGGCAAAGAUACGCUGCUCUGAACGUAAUACUGUGCAUUAUGAAAGUUAGACGAGCCAAACAAGCCAAAAAGCGUGCAUGGAAGCGUUCAUGGUUAGUGGCAGAACCAGUGCACGUAGAAGCAUUGAUGAUCUUAAGGACGCAGAGCCAGAGAAGACGUUUGGGUUUGUGAGGGACUGCGCUGUAGCUGUCAUUCCUUCUUACCUUCCCCUGGUCAAGAAGCACAAGAACGAUGUGUCGGAGGCAGAGCGGUGUUGGCGACUGCUGCGUUGAGGGAGGUACGUGGGGUUCAACUUGGUGUACCACUGAGGCACCAAGUUUGGAUUUGCCACACCCAACGCCAGGAUUGAAAGUAUCUUGAUGUCUCUUCCCCUUGAUGCGAGGUGGGAGUACAUGCACCAGCCAGCACCAGGCACACCGGAGUACAAAAUCAGAGGUGCUUAAGAACCCGAAGGAUUGGGUGUAGCCAGCAACUGUGAGGAGGCCAACCUGCUCACCCUUUCACUGAGACUUACCACUGACACCACUAAAGCCUGUGCAGUUCUUAGGAGCAUCAAGUAAGGGCUUUGGAGAUCCAGUGGCACACUGCACACUGCUUGCAUAAACGUGUGUGCAGAGUGCAAGACUGAGAGGGGCAAGGAUGGAGGAUGCUGCAACAUUCACAGCAUCAUUGGUUCAGGCUUUCUUGUUUUGUGGAAAGUAGUGCACACAGUUUUGACGGAAGGAUUGUAUGUCAUCACUCGUAUUGAUAGAUUGUGACUUGUGUUGACCUUUGUGCAUCAAAUCACUUCAUUACAUGUAAGUUGUACAUUUUAGCUACAAGGAGUAAUGGUUUAUGAGAUUUGUAAUGUGUAAAAAGUGAGUUAUAAGAGAUCUUGUAUUAUGAAGAUAUGUUUAAAGGUGUUUGUUGAUCAGCAUGAUCUAGUUGUGUCAGUCUUAACAGUCCAGACUGUACAGACAUGAACCAUUGGCCAUUGCUCUUCCUGCACAUGGAAUUUCAGUCAGCACUGCAAGGUGUGUGUGUGUUUGUGUGUGUGGGUAAGUGUGCCAGUCAUUGCUUGAUGUCAAUGUCUUUCAUCUAGGAAAAAAAUGUUGUAUAUAAUUAGGUUUACAUACAUUUUUGAGGGAGAAUGUUUGGACUGAUUAAAUAGUAAGUAAUGAGGCUAAAGACCAACAGUGGAGUGAUGGUCAGGCAUUCAGUGAGACCUGAGGCUGACUGUGUAGAAUGCAGCCCCAGAAUGACGGUCUGUGUUUUGUGUAUUUAUGGUGACAAUAUAGUGUUGCAAUGGACAACAUGGUGCCAUUUUGAAAUGCUUAAAAAAUCAUUUUACAGAGUUGAUAGUUCCUCCUAGACUUGCCAUGAAAAUGCUCUCAAAAUACUACUGAUGUUCUGAUAUUAAUUUUUUUAAUGUUAUAUUACCUGUUCAUACAGAGAUUGCUGCCAUGUAUGUGCAGGCCUCAUGGUCCCUUUUGCAACUUUCCUUUUUGUUUCUCUAAUGCUCUGUAACUUGAAAAUAUUCCCAGAGUAAAAAAUAUAAAAUUGCCACAAGUUGGAAAUUGCAUAAAUUAUUCUAAGUUGAAAUGUAAAAAUUUUACAAAUUCUGCUAUUCCAUUGUAAAAAUUGUAAAGACUUUUCUAAGUUGAAAUUUGUAAAAGUUUUCUAAGUCAAAAAUGGUAAAUUCUACUAUUGCACUGUAAAAAUUGUAAAAAAUAUAAAAUUGCUAGAGUUGAAAUUGCAUAAA